UAUGGUAAUUGUGUGCCCCGCGGUAAUACGUAGGUGGCGAGCGUUGUCCGGAAUUAUUGGGCGUAAAGGGAGCGCAGGCGGGAAGGUAAGUCUAUCUUAAAAGUGCGGGGCUCAACCCCGUGAGGGGAUAGAAACUAUCUUUCUUGAGUGCAGGAGAGGAAAGCGGAAUUCCUAGUGUAGCGGUGAAAUGCGUAGAUAUUAGGAGGAACACCAGUGGCGAAGGCGGCUUUCUGGACUGUAACUGACGCUGAGGCUCGAAAGCGUGGGGAGCGAACAGG
rnacentral:rRNA from 1 species